UACGUAGGGGGCUAGCGUUUGUCCGGAAUCAUUGGGCGUAAAGCGCGUGUAGGCGGUCCGGUAAGUCCGCUGUGAAAGUCGAGGGCUCAACCCUCGAAUGGCCGGUGGAAACUGUCGAGCUAGAGUCCGGAAGAGGCGAGUGGAAUUCCUGGUGUAGGCGGUGAAAUGCGCAGAUAUCAGGAGGAACACCUAUAGCGAAGGCAGCUUGCUGGGACGACACUCGACGCUGAGGCGCGAAAGCGUGGGGAGCAAACCAGGA
rnacentral:rRNA from 1 species